rnacentral:rRNA from 1 species
AACGAACGCUGGCGGCAUGCCUAACACAUGCAAGUCGAACGAGAUCUUCGGGUCUAGUGGCGCAUGGGUGCGUAACGCGUGGGAAUCUGCCCUUUGGUUCGGAAUAACAGUUGGAAACGACUGCUAAUACCGGAUGAUGACGAAAGUCCAAAGAUUUAUCGCCAGAGGAUGAGCCCGAGUAGGAUUAGCUAGUUGGUGUGGUAAAGGCGCACCAAGGCGACGAUCCUUAGCUGGUCUGAGAGGAUGAUCAGCCACACUGGAACUGAGACACGGCCCAGACUCCUACGGGAGGCAGCAGUGGGGAAUAUUGGACAAUGGGCGAAAGCCUGAUCCAGCAAUGCCGCGUGAGUGAUGAAGGCCUUAGGGUUGUAAAGCUCUUUUACCCGGGAUGAUAAUGACAGUACCGGGAGAAUAAGCUCCGGCUAACUCCGUGCCAGCCGCCGCCGUAA